AUUGAACGCUGGCGGCAGGCCUAACACAUGCAAGUCGAGCGGGGUUUUCGGACCUAGCGGCGGACGGGUGAGUAAUGCGUAGGAAGCUACCCGAUAGAGGGGGAUACCAGUUGGAAACGACUGUUAAUACCGCAUAAUGUCUACGGACCAAAGUGUGGGACCUUCGGGCCACAUGCUAUCGGAUGCGCCCACGUGGGAUUAGCUAGUUGGUGGGGUAAUGGCUCACCAAGGCGACGAUCCCUAGCUGGUUCGAGAGGAUGAUCAGCCACACUGGAACGGAGACACGGACCAGACUCCUACGGGAGGCAGCAGUGGGGAAUAUUGGACAAUGGGCGCAAGCCUGAUUCAGCCAGGCCGCGUGUGUGAAGAAGGCCUUCGGGUUGUAAAGCACUUUCAGUAGGGAGGAAGGGUGUUGUGUUAAUAGCACAGCAUUUUGACGUUACCUACAGAAGAAGCACCGGCUAACUCUGUGCCAGCCGCCGCGGUAACAC
rnacentral:rRNA from 1 species